CCCGCGGUAAUACCAGCACCUCAAGUGGUCAGGAUGAUUAUUGGGCCUAAAACAUCCGUAGCCGGCUCUGUAAGUUUUCGGUUAAAUCUGUACGCUCAACGUACAGGCUGCCGGGAAUACUGCAAAGCUAGGGAGUGGGAGAGGUAGACGGUACUCGGUAGGAAGGGGUAAAAUCCUUUGAUCUAUUGAUGACCACCUGUGGCGAAGGCGGUCUACCAGAACACAUCCGACGGUGAGGGAUGAAAGCUGGGGGAGCAAACCGGAUUAGAUACCCGGGUAGUCCCAGCUGUAAACUAUGC
rnacentral:rRNA from 1 species